rnacentral:rRNA from 1 species
AGAGUUUGAUCCUGGCUCAGGAUGAACGCUAGCGACAGGCCUAACACAUGCAAGUCGAGGGGCAGCGGGGCGUGGCAACACGCCGCCGGCGACCGGCGCACGGGUGAGUAACACGUAUGCAACCUGCCCCCAACAGGGGUAUAACCCGGGGAAACCCGGACUAAUACCGCGUAGUCCGAAUGAGGGCAUCCUUUUUCGGGGAAAGCUUUUAGCGGUUGGGGAUGGGCAUGCGGCGCAUUAGCUAGUUGGCGGGGUGACGGCCCACCAAGGCGACGAUGCGUAGGGGUUCUGAGAGGAAGGUCCCCCACACUGGUACUGAGACACGGACCAGACUCCUACGGGAGGCAGCAGUGAGGAAUAUUGGUCAAUGGGCGGGAGCCUGAACCAGCCAAGUCGCGUGAAGGAAGACGGCCCUACGGGUUGUAAACUUCUUUAGCCGGGGAGCAACGGCGCGGACGCGUCCGCGUGUGAGCGUACCCGGAGAAUAAGCAUCGGUCUAACUCCGUGCCAGCAGCCGCGGUAAUACGGAGGAUGCGAGCGUUAUCCGGAUUUAUUGGGUUUAAAGGGUGCGCAGGCUGCCUGUCAAGUCAGCGGUAAAAUUGCGGGGCUCAACCCCGUCCCGCCGUUGAGACUGACGGGCUGGAGUGCGGUUGAGGCAUGCGGAAUGCGAGGUGUAGCGGUGAAAUGCAUAGAUAUCACGCAGAACUCCGAUUGCGAAGGCAGCAUGCCAAGCCGUUACUGACGCUCAGGCACGAAAGCGUGGGGAUCGAACAGGAUUAGAUAGCCUCGGUAGUCCAUCGCAUUAACGCAUGAAUGGUAUCUAUGCCGGCGCGAAUGGGUGCUCCGGGGAACAGAGAAAGCGUUAAGCAUUCCUCCUGGGGAGUGCGCCGGCAGCGGUGAAACUCAAAGGAAUUGACGGGGGCCCGCACACGCGGAGGAACAUACGGUUUAAUUCGAUGAUACGCGAGGAACCUUCCCCGGGCUCAAACGCGGAGGAUAAGCGCGGGGGAAACCUUGUGUCGCGCAAGCUAAUCCGCGAGGUGCUGCAUGGUUGUCGUCAGCUCGUGCCGUGAGGUGUCGGCUUAAGUGCCAUAACGAGCGCAACCCCCAUCUUACAGUUGCUAACGGGUGAAGCCGAGGACUUUGUGGAGACUGCCAGCGCAAGCUGCGAGGAAGGCGGGGAUGACGUCAAAUCAGCCCGGCCCUUACGUCCGGGGCGACACACGUGUUACAAUGGCGGGGGACAGAGGGAGGCCACCUGGCGACAGGGAGCGGAGCCCGAAACCCCGUCUCAGUUCGGAUCGGAGUCUGCAACCCGACUCCGUGAAGCUGGAUUCGCUAGUAAUCGCGCAUCAGCCAUGGCGCGGUGAAUACGUUCCCGGGCCUUGCACUCACCGCCCGUCA